rnacentral:rRNA from 1 species
CCUACGGGAGGCAGCAGUGGGGAAUAUUGCGCAAUGGGCGAAAGCCUGACGCAGCGACGUCGCGUGAGGGAUGAAGGUCUUCGGAUCGGUAACCUCUGUCAGUAGGGAAGAACGGUCACUGUGCUAAUCAGCAGUGAAUUGACGGUACCUGCAAAGGAAGCACCGGCUAACUCCGUGCCAGCAGCCGCGGUAAGACGGAGGGUGCGAGCGUUAGUCGGAAUUACUGGGCGUAAAGGGCUCGUAGGCGGUAUGUCAAGUCAAGGGUGAAAUCCCCGCGCUCAACGUGGGAACUGCCUUUGAAACUGGGGAACUGGAGUGUGUGAGAGGAUAGUGGAAGUCCAGGUGUAGGGGUGAAAUCCGUAGAUAUCUGGAAGAACAUCAGUGGCGAAGGCAACUAUCUGGCACAUAACUGACGCUGAGGAGCGAAAGCGUGGGUAGCAAACAGGAUUAGAUACCCGGGUAGUC